UACGGAGGGGGCUAGCGUUGUUCGGAAUUACUGGGCGUAAAGCGCGCGUAGGCGAUCUGCAAGUCGGGGGUGAAAUCCCGAGGCUCAACCUCGGAACUGCCUUCGAUACUGCGGGUCUCGAGUCCGGGAGAGGUGAGUGGAAUUCCUAGUGUAGAGGUGAAAAUUCGUAGAUAUUAGGAAGAACACCAGUGGCGAAGGCGGCUCACUGGCCCGAUACUGACGCUGAGGCACGAAAGCGUGGGGAGCAAACAGG
rnacentral:rRNA from 1 species